AGCCCUUCUGGUACUGAGACACGGACCAGACUCCUACGGGAGGCAGCAGUGAGGAAUAUUGGGCAAUGGAGGUAACUCUGACCCAGCCAUGCCGCGUGCAGGAAGACUGCCCUAUGGGUUGUAAACUGCUUUUAUACAGGAAGAAACACUGGUAUGUAUACCAGCUUGACGGUACUGUAAGAAUAAGGACCGGCUAACUCCGUGCCAGCAGCCGCGGUAAUACGGAGGGUCCGAGCGUUAUCCGGAAUCAUUGGGUUUAAAGGGUCCGCAGGCGGACGAUUAAGUCAGAGGUGAAAUCCCAUAGCUUAACUAUGGAACUGCCUUUGAUACUGGUUGACUUGAGUCAUAUGGAAGUAGAUAGAAUGUGUAGUGUAGCGGUGAAAUGCAUAGAUAUUACACAGAAUACCGAUUGCGAAGGCAGWACUACUACGUAUGUACUGACGCUCAUGGACGAAAGCGUGGGGAGCGAACAGGAUAGAUACCCUGGUAGUCCACGCCGUAAACGAUGGAUACUAGUUGUUGGGCAUAAGCUCAGUGACUAAGCGAAAGUGAUAAGUAUCCCACCUGGGGAGUACGGUCGCAAGACUGAAACUCAAAGGAAUUGACGGGGGGCCGCACAAGCGGUGGAGCAUGUGGUUUAAWUUCGAUGAUACGCGAGGAACCUUACCAGGGCUUAAAUGUAGUAWUGACAGGGCUAGAGAUAGCUUUUUCUUCGGACAUWAWUUACAAGGUGCUGCAUGGUUGUCGUCAGCUCGUACCGUGAGGUGUCAGGUUAAGUCCUAUAACGAGCGCAACCCUUGUCAUUAGUUGCCAGCAUGUAAAGAUGGGGAACUCUAAUGAGACUGCCGGUGCAAACCGCGAGGAAGGUGGGGAUGACGUCAAAUCAUCACGGCCCUUACGUCCUGGGCCACACACGUGCUACAAUGGUAUGGACAAUGAGCAGCCAUYUGGCAACAGAGAGCGAAUCUAUAAACCAUAUCACAGUUCGGAUCGGAGCCUGCAACUCGACUCCGUGGAAGCUGGAAUCGCUAGUAAUCGGAUAUCAGCCAUGAUCCGGUGAAUACGUUCCCGGGCCUUGUACACACCGCCCGUCCAAGCCAUGGAAGCUGGGAGUGCCUGAAUCGGUUCACCGCAAGGAGCCGCCUAGGGUAAAACUGGUAACUAGGGCUAAGUCGUAACAAGGUAGCCCGUACCGGGAAGGUGCGGCUGGAUCACCUCCUUAA
rnacentral:rRNA from 1 species